rnacentral:ncRNA from 1 species
CACCGCCCGUCGCUCCUACCGAUUGAAUGGUCCGGUGAAAUGUUCGGACCGCGGCCUCAUUGCGGUUCGCCGCCGUUUGGCUGUGGGAAGUUCGUUAAACCUUAUCAUUUAGAGGAAGGAGAAGUCGUAACAAGGUUUCCGUAGGUGAACCUGCGGAAG